rnacentral:ncRNA from 14 species
CCAACGGCCCUCUUUAGGGCCAACAAUGAUUAUUUAUAAUAUUUUGU